GGCAGGAAAGGCAAACCUUUACCUGGAGUAUGUGUCUAUUCAUAUAAAACAAACUACCAAAUGACCAGCAGGUCUCUACAGGUGGUGCCAUAUUCAGAGGUUCAGAAUGUUUUAGUUGCUUGUAAUUUGUGUAUUUUGUGGUACCAGUUGUUAGAAUAGCUUUGGUGAAUGGGAGCCGAUGGUUUGGGGCCCAUGCAUAGACUUAAUUUCUGUCACUAGCUAUUCUACUCAUGGACUUAUUAGGAAAGCAGUGAUGUCAAGUGAAAGAGCCGUUCUGUAUACUUUAUUGUAAAUAUUCUCUGUGGAAAGCAUUCUAUAGUGGAUAUUAACAUGUCAUAGGAAAGUCUUCGUGGUGUCCACUCUUACCCAGCAAGAAAUGAUUCCAAGAUCACCUAGCUGAUCUCAUGCUCUAUCUGGAUUUGAGUGAAGAUAUACAUAUUCACCAAGUCUUGACUCAGUCACCUUUUGUGCAGCACCAUCCUAUUACAAAUCUGCCAGCCUACAGACUAGUAAAACGCGCUGACCCAAGAGAAAGCAAAAAGCGGCCCCUUUCCCCGGCUCCAGCGCUGCUCGGCCAGGCUUCACUUUUAAAGGCGAGCAUCAUUGGUUCAUGCGCCACAGGAAAUGGAGCCAUCACAGGACGGGCCAAAGACACCUGUCUUCUCAUCCCUCUUCUCACUUUUCACUUCAAAGGCACGCACCUCAUCAGGGAAGAAAAAGGAAAGCUGAGAGGAACUGAGACAGCAGUUUUAGGUGAUGGGUUAAUUAUGCACAGUUGUGCCUUCCUCUCUCCUUUCUCAAUCUUCGCCCCAAGUCCUGCCUCCAGGUUUAUGCUGCAGAGUGUCCGUGGAAGGGUGGCUCUUACAUGGUAGCUCUGAAAAGCUUGACAUUAUUUUACUAAGUGAAUGCAAGAAUUCUCAUGUGGGCAUCUCCACUCAUGGAUAGGAUUGCCAGAUUUAGCAAAUAAAAGUACAAUGAAAUAUCCAA
ensembl:lncRNA novel transcript